UCCAGAAUUGUCUCCAGAUGAACUAUGGAGUCGAUUUCUGCUGGGAUGAUACUGAGUGUUCCGCCACUCGCUCAUUUGUCUGUGCCAAGCCAGAUCCCUGCUGUCCAGAAUCACCCUGUCCCGUGGAGGUCCCAUCUGAUCAGUAGCUCCUGAGCUGACACACACAGAGACACCAACCAAACACACAAACACCUGCUGGAUGUGACCGUGUGAAUGUCUUUGUGUGUCAUAUAUCAGUCUCAUGUGUAAUCACAUCUUUUAUAAUUUGGCUGUAACGCUGCUGACGGGAUGAAGCGACAAGUGACGUAACAGGAGCUGGACUUCCUCUUUGACCUUUAAUGAGAGGAGGCUGAAUGUGUUAUGAAAAGACGGCUUUUUAGCACAAACUAAUCUUUGAUACCCAAUUAAAACUCUUGAGCAUUUGAA